AUUGAACGCUGGCGGCAGGCUUAACACAUGCAAGUCGAACGAGUGGCGGACGGGUGAGUAAUGCUUGGGAAUCUAGCUUAUGGAGGGGGAUAACUACGGGAAACUGUAGCUAAUACCGCGUACCAUAGGAUGAGCCAAAGUGGGAUUAGGUAGUUGGAGAGGUAAAGGGUCACCAAGCCGACGAUCCCUAGCUGGUCUGAGAGGAUGAUCAGCCACACUGGGACUUAGAACCGGCCCAGCUGCCUACGGUAGGCAGCAGUGGGGAUUAUUGCACAAUGGGCGCAAGCCUGAUGCAGCCAUUCCGCGUGUAUGAAGAAGGCCCUAGGGUUGUAAAGUACUUUCAGUCGGGAGGCGUUACCGACAGAAGAAGCACCGGCUAACUCCGUGCCAGCAGCCGCGGUAAUAC
rnacentral:rRNA from 1 species